ACGUAGGUGGCGAGCGUUGUCCGGAAUUAUUGGGCGUAAAGCGCGCGCAGGCGGUCUCUUAAGUCUGAUGUGAAAGCCCCCGGCUCAACCGGGGAGGGUCAUUGGAAACUGGGAGACUUGAGUGCAGGAGAGGGAAGCGGAAUUCCAUGUGUAGCGGUGAAAUGUGUAGAGAUCGGGAGGAACACCGGUGGCGAAGGCGGGUCUCUGGGCAUCUCCUGACGCUGAGGCGCGAAAGCGUGGGGAGCAAACGGGA
rnacentral:rRNA from 1 species